CGACCCGCCACACGAGCGCGUUCGUACCAACCGANGACACCNNNCACUGUGUGUGCCAUUUCGCAUCCUCCCCUCCCGGGGANCGGNUCGCCCGGCAGGUGGUUCGUCGUCUCGACCGUCUUCACCCGAGUGUGUGCGGUCGNNGACNUCCUCCGUUGGAUCGGUGCGGUUCCCGCGCGGGAUGCCGGACGUCCGCAGCGAGUAGGUCGGUCACCCACCCGACCCGUCUUGAAACACGGACCAAGGAGUCUAACAUGUGCGCGAGUCAUUGGGUCUUGCUCAGGCCCAAAGGCGCAANGAAAGUGAAGGCCGGCUCGGUCGGCUGCGUUGGGAUCCCGCCUUCUGACGGCGGGCGCACCAACGGCCCGUCCCGGUCGCUGCGUCGACGGGGCGGAGUGAGAGCGUACACGUUGGGACCCGAAAGAUGGUGAACUAUGCCUGGGCAGGACGAAGCCAGAGGAAACUNNNNNNGGAGGUCCGCAGCGAUUCUGACGUGCAAAUCGAUCGUCAGAC
rnacentral:rRNA from 1 species